UACUUUCUCUGCUACCACCUUUACAGGUCCACCAGCAACAGAUAGACGGGGGUUUGGUUCAACUGGGAUUUCAGAUUUUUUAGCUUCUGGUAACUUGGUUUCUGAAACCUCCGCAGAUUUUUCAGUUGCUAAAGUGACACUGCAGGUUCACUCCCUAAUUGCUCUUCUUUCGCUGGCUCCACAGAUUCUUUGGUAAGUGGUGUUUCAACUGUUACUGGCUCUGCAGGAUUAAUUAAAGUCACUGAUCGUUCUAGGACCGUUGGCCCCUUGGGUUUUUCAGUCACUGAUGAUUCUGGUUUCACUGGUUCUUCUGGUGCUUUCACACUUUCAGCUGACUCCUUCACAUCUUCACUCUGAAAAGGGUACAAAUUUAACCAUGAGAAAGAAAUCCCAGAUGGCUCAAAGAGCAGUGCAAUACAUGCAGUUGAUUAAUAUGUUAACAACUACUUAACUAAUCAAAUCAUCUGGCAGAUGUAGCUGAUAAACAAUAUUUAUCUUUUCUUGGACUUUUGAAUGAACAUCUGCAACUUUAAGUCUUUUA